GCUGGGUGUGGUGGCGGGCACCUGUAAUCCCAGCUACUCAGGAAGCUGAGGCUGGAGAAUUGCUUGAACUCAGGAGGUGGAGGGUGCAGUGAGCUGAGAUCGUGCCACUGCACUCCAGCCUGGGUGACAGAGCAAGACUCUGUCUUGA
ensembl:misc_RNA Metazoa_SRP Metazoan signal recognition particle RNA